CUGCAUUUCCAAACACUCGGUCGGGCACGCGUGUCUUUGCGCCUUUUUGCCUUUCUCCUUUUUUUUUUAUGCUCUUUGAAUUGAAUUUACAUUUUUCGACAAUUUCGUGGCGCGUGCAGGCAACAAAAAAUACAAACAAACAAAGUACGACAAAUCGUUGGCCCUGCUGUGUUUGUGUCAAACGCCAGUGUUAUUGAUGUGUGACAGAAUAUAGAAAUACAAAUCAACAAACUUGCAACUGGAACAUAGGAAUUUAGCGUCGCGAGAAGGUCCUGGGAAAGUGAACAAAAUACUGCAUACAUAAAUAUACCACUACGCAGCGUAAUAAAGGGUGCCAUGUGGAGUCCCACACACUGCAAUGUAACGGUGCACCGGGCGAGGGGUCUGCUCACCAAGGGCAAGAACGGCACCAACAAUUGCUUUGUCACCAUUGCCCUCGGCAAGGAGAAGUAUCAGACGUCGGUGAAGGACAAGUCCGAGACGAAGGUCGAUUGGAAUGAGGAGUGCGAGCUGAAAAUUCCCGAUCAGGGCAAUCGGGCAGAGCUGACACUGACGUGCUUGCAUCGCAAUAAUCUGGGCAUCGAUGAGUUCCUGGGGCAGGCAACGUUGCCGCUCAACGAGAUGGACGUGUACGAUCGGCCGCGCACCAAGUGGUUCAAGCUGGAGAGCAAGCCGGGCAAGGAGAAGAAGAACAAGGAGCGCGGCGAGCUGGAGGUGCGCAUCGGGUUUGUUGUCAAGUCCGGCUCCCUGACGGACCUCAGCAAGAAGGACAAGCACAAGUCUUCCAUCGGUCAGCUGGCCAGCUCUGUGGGCGGCAGUCUGCUGUCCAUCGGCAACGGCGAGAAGCGAAAGAGCAUCAAGAAGUUGGCCGGCUCGCUGAGCUCCAAGCUGCAUUUGCGCAGCAAGAAGAAGCACGCGGAUGCCGGCGGCGAUGACAACAGCUCCUUCAGCGGUUCCUUUGCCAGCAUUGGCACCCCGAACAGCUCCACCGGCGGCCCCGGUGGCAGCGGCCGACGCCGCGGGCAGCGUGCCGGCGAGGCCGAUCCCGGCGUCAUCAGCGAGGACGAGGAUGAGUUUGUGUUUGACAACUUGUCGCACAAGAGCUCCGGCAGUUCGCUGAACAUUCAGCGUUCCGGACUGCAGCCGCCACCAGCCACCAUGGGCGGAGGAGGUGGAGGAGGAGGAGCGCCCAACUUUGCGCCCCGCAAUCCCUCGCCGCUGCUGAGCAAUGGCAAUGGUUUGGGGAGUGGAAACGGGAAUGGGAACGGGAACGGCGUGGGAAAGAUCCAUCACGGAGGUAAGCCCAAAAUGCCAGAGACUCUCGAUGAGGAUACGCCCAUCAGUGCGGAGAUGGAACAGCUUGAGAUCGAUUUCAGUGUACGCGCUCGCACCCUGCCGCCUCCCUCGAAGCCGCCGCGCAUACCACAGCUGCAGCUGGAGCAGGAGGAGGAGGAGGAGCAGAAGCAGAGGGAACUGCAAAUGGAAAUGGAGAGGGAACAGGAACGGCAGAGAGAGAAGCCAAAGGAUAAGGAGACGAUGGACAGCGACAAGGAUGAGUGGGCGUCAAAGCUGUACGGUGGCUUGGAGAUUGGCACCAGUGACUCGCUGAAGCGUCGCAGCUGGGAGUCGCGUGUACCGCUGCCAGCCAGCGUGCAGGAGACACCGCCACCGCUGCCCCCACCGUCAGAGCCUUCCUCCAGCUCGUCCUCGGACAGCGAUGAAGAGGAGAUGCCGCUGCCGGUGCCGGUGCCGCAGCCCAAGCCAAAGGCAACCAAGGCAGCUGCUCCCCCAAUACCGGUGCGGGCACCAGCUCCAGACCCUGUCCCCGUCCCUGUACCAUCUGUGAGCAACGCUUCCUCGCUCUUCUCGCCCGACGUGGAGCAGCGCAACUUUGAUGCGUUCAACGCGAGCUUCGCCAAGUUCGAGCAGCGCAACAGCACGGCCAUCUUUGCCGAUGAGCCAGAGCUCGAGGAUCUGGAUGUGGAGGUUGUGAUGCCAACGCCUACAGCAAGGCCAAAGCCGCAGCCUCGCUCGCUGCUGGAUAUCAGGGCGGAGGCGGAGAAGGCAGAGCGAGUGGAGGAGGAAGCGCGUCAGCAGCGCGCCGAGGAAGAUGCGCGCCUGGAGGCCGAGCUGCGGCUGAACGAGCAGCGGCUGCGCGUCGAGGAGGCUGCCCUCAGGCAGGAGCUGGCGGAAGAGCAGCGCCAAAAGGAGCUGCUGGAGGAGCAGCGGCGGCGCGAGGCCAAGCGCUGGGAGGAGGACCAGCGGCUGCUUACCUUUGCCACACGAUCCACGUCACUGGAGGAGGAGCAGCCGCUGCCGCUGCCACCGCCACCGCCAUCGCCACCUCAGCAGCUACAGCGGCAGCUGCAGUUGAAGGCGGAGUUAGAGGAGGCGGAGCCAGAAACCGAACCCAAACCCGAACCAGAGGCAGAACUAGAACUCGAGCCAGAGCCAAAGCACAAUUUCCUAACGCCCGAACAGUCGCCCAAGGAGUUCCAAACGAACGGCAGCGGCGGCAUCAAUGGCAGCGGCAACGGCAGCGGCCGUGAGAUGCGUCUGGGAAAGUUCAAAUACGGCAAUAAGCGAGAUAAAUACAGCAACGAUAAUGGCAGCAACUCGCCCAGUCCCAAGUCCACGGAGCGCAUUAUCAUAGGCCAUGAAAAGUCUGGAGGCUCGCAUGCGGAACGUCGCUCAGAGAUCUCCGCACAGCUGGCCAAGAAGUACGAGGGCAAGUCACGGGAGGAGCUAAUGCUAAUUGCCAAUGGCAUGGAGAACGAGGCACUGCUGCAGCGGCAGCGUGUCAAGGAGCUGGAGGAUUAUCUGGAUAAUCUGCUGCUGCGCGUAAUGGAAACACAUCCGAAGAUCCUACAGAAUCCCUACUCGCGCACCACUUCCGCCAAAAGUUAUAAAAACUACAUCAAUAUGAAUGACUUUCUAAAGUAAAUGUGGCUGAACGCGCGCGCGCUGUGCAUGUUGCAAAGUUUUUGCAUUUAAUUAGCACUUAACCAACACUACGACCCACAACAAACAGCAACCAACAACAACACAAGCAACCAACCAACCACCAAAUGACCCCAACACAAUGCGCGCGCGACACUCAACGAAGAAAGCAGAAAACAGAAGACAGAAACCAGAAGAAGUCCGGCAGUACACACACACACACAGAGAGAGAAGGAAGCAAAGUCCAGGCCCUCACCUGAAGUCCCGUUUUGGAUGAACGGUUAAGCAGCCCCAGCCGCAACCUGUCGUCGCGUUGCAGUUCCCGCGAAGGAGUUGUUGCAGUUGCAGCUGCAAUCUACUACAUCUUACAGCAUGUAAAAUGUAAAAACAAUCGAACACCAAGUUGCCUUUUGUCGCCAAAAACAAAAACAAAAAAAAACUGCGAAAUUCAAGUGCUUUCUAACACUAAUUUAAGUAACUGAGAGGAAA